UACGUAGGGGGCAAGCGUUGUCCGGAAUUAUUGGGCGUAAAGAGCGUGUAGGCGGCCCGGUAAGUCCGCUGUGAAAGUCCAGGGCUCAACCCUGGGAUGCCGGUGGAUACUGUCGGGCUCGAGUCCGGAAGAGGAGUGUGGAAUUCCUGGUGUAGCGAUGAAAUGCGCAGAUAUCAGGAGGAACACCAAUGGCGAAGGCAGCACUCUGGGACGUGACUGACGCUGAGACGCGAAAGCGUGGGGAGCAAACAGG
rnacentral:rRNA from 1 species